rnacentral:rRNA from 1 species
CCUACGGGGGGCUGCAGUGGGGAAUUUUACGCAAUGGGGGAAACCCUGACGUAGCGACACCGCGUGAGCGAAGAAGCCCUUUGGGGUGUAAAGCUCUGUCAACAGGAACGAAACAAAUGACGGUCCCUGUGGAGGAAGCAUCGGCUAACUACGUGCCAGCAGCCGCGGUAAGACGUAGGAUGCAAGCGUUGUCCGGAUUUAUUGGGCGUAAAGAGUUCGUAGGCGGUUUGUUAAGUCUGAUGUUAAAGACCGGGGCUCAACCGCGGAAAUGCAUUGGAUACUGGCAGACUGGAGUGCAGUAGAGGCUAGUGGAAUUCCCAGUGUAGCGGUGAAAUGCGUAGAUAUUGGGAAGAACACCGGUGGCGUAGGCGACUAGCUGGGCUGUAACUGACGCUGAGGAACGAAAGCCAGGGGAGCGAAUGGGAUUAGAUACCCUGGUAGUC